AUACGGAGGGUGCGAGCGUUGUUCGGAUUUAUUGGGCGUAAAGAGCGCGUAGGCGGCUUGGUAAGUCAGAUGUGAAAGCCCGGGGCCCAACCCCGGAAGUGCAUUUGAAACUAUCAGGCUUGAGUAUGGGAGAGGGAAGUGGAAUUCCUGGUGUAGAGGUGAAAUUCGUAGAUAUCAGGAGGAACACCGGUGGCGAAGGCGACUUCCUGGACCAAUACUGACGCUGAGGCGCGAAGGCGUGGGGAGCAAACAGGAUUAGAAACCCCAGUAGUCC
rnacentral:rRNA from 1 species